rnacentral:tRNA from 1 species
GGGGAUAUAGCUCAGUGACAAAGCACCUGCCUGGCAAGCACAGGGUCCUGAGUUCAAUCUCCAGUACCCCCC